AGUAAUGUAUGGGGAUCUGCCUGAUGGCGGGGGAUAACUACUGGAAACGGUAGCUAAUACCGCAUAAUGUCUGCGGACCAAAGCGGGGGGACCUCCGGGCCUCGCGCCAUCAGAUGAACCCAUAUGGGAUUAGCUUGUAGGUAAGGUAACGGCUUACCUAGGCGACGAUCCCUAGCUGGUCUGAGAGGAUGAUCAGCCACACUGGGACUGAGACAUGGUCCAG
rnacentral:rRNA from 1 species